GCUGCGCCUGGCCGACGAGGAGGCCGCGGCGGCCUAUGAGGUCGGCCAGGAGCUGACCGCCGAGAUCUUCGCCGACGGUGCCUACGUCGACGUGACC
rnacentral:tRNA from 1 species